UAAUCAGUGUUAGACCUUAAUUGCUUUGUGUAUCCCAUUUAUGACGAUUUAUGUUGUUAAAAUAAUCUGCACAUGAAGACUCAUCGAUUAAUGGUGACGAGAUUCCAGAUAUUUUGAAAACCACGUAAACUGGAUUACUCUACAAUACGUGAUCACUGAUUACUGAUGCUCAUAGUUAUGCUAAUCCACGCUUUUGCUUCUACGUCUCUUUGAAAUCAAAAAGUCAAAACCCUCUACAAACUGAAUUGCAAUGGCAGAAAUCGUUGUAAGCGCCGCCAUCACCGUCCUGUGUGAGCGGCUGAUCUCUACUGACUUGUUGAAGCUCGCUCGAUCCGAAGGAAUCGAUUCUCAGUUAAACAAAUGGAAGAAAACCUUGCCCUUGAUCCAAGCCGUGCUGGAUGAUGCAAGCCAGAAACAGAUAGCAGACAGAGCUGUUCAAUUGUGGGUGAACGAUCUCCACAAUUUGGCUUACGACAUUGAUGAUGUACUCGAUGAUUUGGCCACCGAAGCCGGUCAACGCAAGUUGAAUCAUGAAUCUCAUGCCAGCACCAGCAGUAAUAAGGUAUUGAAGAUCAUCCCUACUUGUUGUACGAAUUUCACUCCUCGCAACAUUAUGUAUGGUCGUCUGAUGAGUUCUAAGCUCGAUGAGAUUUCCAACAAAUUGCGUGAUCUUGUUGAUCAGAAAAUUAAUCUCGGUUUGAAUGUGAAUGUGAAUGCUGAAAGGCCGAAUAGACUAGAGAGACGAUUAGGGCAAACUUCACUGGUUGAUGAGUCCAAAAUCAUGGGUCGGAAAGGGGAUAAAGAGGCGUUGUUGAAGAAGUUGUUGAGGAAUGAGAGAUUCGAUCAAAAUGUUGGCAUAGUCUCCAUAGUUGGUCUGGGUGGGAUAGGCAAAACCACUCUUGCCAAAGUUGUGUACAACCAUGAGAAAGUGAAAGAUGAGUUUGAAUUCAGGAUAUGGGUUUGUGUUUCUGGUGAGUUUGAUGUUCUUGAUAUUAGUAAGGCGAUUCUUGAAGCUGUAAGUGGGGAGGAAAAAAGAUCUUCCAAUCUAGAUCUGAUUCAUGUGGUCCUCAAAGAAAAACUCCUAAAGAAAAAGUUCCUACUUGUUCUUGAUGAUGUAUGGAAUGAAGAUGAGAGUAAGUGGGAGCUUCUACAAAGCCCUCUUGUUGUAGGGGCACCUGGAAGUAAAAUCAUGGUCACAACUAGGAAUACACGGGUUGUGACCAUGAUGGACUCUGAUGAAGUUUAUCAUCUAGACGUUUUGUCAAAUGAAGAUGCUUUGUCUUUAUUUGCUCAAAAUGCUUUAGGUGAAAAGAACUUUGACAAACAUCCAACACUUAAACUCCAUGGUGAAGGUAUCAUGAAGAAAUGUGGUAGAUUGCCUUUGGCUUUGAAAACACUUGGAAGAGUCUUGAAGACAACAAGAAAUGUUGAUGAAUGGGAGAAGUUGUUGAAUAGUGAGAUAUGGGAUAUAGAGGAUGGAAGUGAGAUUCUUCCAGCUUUAAAACUAAGCUACUAUCACCUCCCUCCACAUUUGAAGCAGUUGUUUGCAUACUGCUCUUUAUUUCCCAAAGACUAUGUAUUUGACAAGAAUGAGUUAGUCCUAUUGUGGAUGGCAGAAGGGUUUUUAUCCCAAUCAAAGGGCAACAAUUCAAUGGAGAAUUUAGGUCAUCAUUAUUUUGAAAAGCUAAAAUCAAGGUCGUUUUUUCAAAAUUCAACUAAUGAUGAAUUAAGAUAUACAAUGCAUGGUCUGAUAAAUGAUUUGGCCACGAGUGUUGCAGGAGAGUUUUUCUUUAGAUUUGAUGAAUUAAGAUACGCAAAUGAAACAUUUAAAAACUUCCGUUUGCAUCACUUUUCAUUUAUAAAUCUACAAUCGUAUGCACAACUCAAGAAAUUAAAAAGCGCUUCUUGCUUGAGAACUUUCUUACCAAUGUCAGGUGGUUUUUUGCAUGAUGUUCUUGAUGAAUUACUUCCUAAACUACAAUAUCUAAGGGUGUUAAGCCUAGCCAAUCAGAUAACCAAAGGGGUACCAAAUUCGGUUGGUAGUCUUAAACAUCUAAGGUACCUAAAUUUUUCUUAUUGUGGAAUCUCCGAUUUACCUGAACAAAUCACUGAUCUUUACAAUCUACAAAGCUUGUUGCUUCGUGGUUGUUUUCGAUUAUCUUGCUUGCCAAAAGGUUUUAUAAAGUUAAUAAACCUUCGACAUCUUGACAUGAGCGAUACUCCAAUGUUGACCAAAAUGCCCUUAGGGAUUGGUGGGUUGAUUAGUCUACAAACUCUAACCAAGGUUAUUAUCGAAGAAACCAAUACGUUCAAAAUAUCUGAGCUUAAGAGGCUAUUGGAUCUUCAAGGUCGACUUUCCAUUAUGGGGCUUGACAAAGUGAUUCAUCCAAUACAAGCAAAGGAUGCGAGCUUACAUCAAAAGAAAGGUCUUGAUGUUUUGGAAUUGGUGUAUAGUGAUGUGUUUGAUGAAUCUCGGAAUGAGAUGAUUGAAUAUGAAGUACUUAAAGAACUAACCCCUCAUCAUAACUUGAAAAAUCUAAAGAUUUUGUUCUUCAUGGGAAUGAGAUUUCCUAGUUGGGUUGGUGAUCCUGUAUUUGAUCAGUUAACAGAGGUUACAUUACGUGGUUGUACUUGUUCACAUUUACCAACACUUGGACAUCUAAAUUCACUUAAGAAGUUAAUUGUUCAAAAGAUGAAUGAACUCAAGACAAUUGGUCUUGAGUUACUUACACCUACUAAUUCUAAUUCUUUCAUUCACAUUGCAUUUCCAUCACUUGAAGUUUUGAAGUUUCUUGACAUGCAAAAUUGGGAGAAAUGGUCAACUUUUGGGGACGAGGACAACAAUGAUGAAAUUUCUAGAUCGUUGUUUCCUCGUCUUCAUAAGAUUUUCAUCAAACAUUGUCCGAAACUAACUCAAGUGUCAAUUGGAUUGAUACCAUCACUUCGAGUUUUACAUAUAAAAGAAUGCUCCGAAAUGGUUUUAAGAAGCAUGGUUGGUGUGUCCACAUCACUUGUUGCAUUGAAAAUGUGGAAGGUUAAAGGACUUACUCAAUUACAUGAAGUUGAUUUAAUGCAUCUUGGAGCACUUGAGAAUCUGUAUAUUGAUGGAUGUGAUGAAUUGAUGUACUUGUGGGAACAAAAAACGGAGGCAUGCAAGAGUUUCGUGAGUUUAAAAAAGUUAGAGAUUCGUAAUUGUAAAAAAUUAGUAUCAUUAUCAUUAUCAUUAUCAUUAGUAGAGAAAGAGAGAGAGGUUAAUUUGGGGAAUACUAUUACUAAUAGCAUGGAAUCUCUUAAAGAAGUGAUAUUUCGUAAUUGUGACACACUCGAGAGUUACAAUUGCUUAAAUAGUGUUGAGAGGUUAGUGAUAAGUUGUUGUCAUUCAUUGACUUCAUUGACCUUCUCAUCUUCUUUCACCAAAACAAUAAGCAGUGAUUGUGUGUUUUGCCUAACAUCUCUUGACAUCCGUAAUUGCAAGAAUCUAAAGUCAUUUCCUUAUGAGCAUUUCCAAAGUCUCACAUCUUUGGAACAACUAUCAAUAUAUGAUUGUCAAAGUAUAGACUACACCUUUCCUUGUGGGUUGUGGCCUCCUAAUUUAAGUAGCCUAGUUAUAGGAUGCUUAAACAAGCCCAUGUCCGAGUGGAGCCCACAGAAUUUUCCAACUUCACUUGUUGAACUACACUUAAAUGGAAAAAAUUCAGGAGUGGUUUCGUUUGUAGUGGAAAAAGACGUGAAGAAUACAACAACUACUUCAUCAUCAUCAUUGUCUUUUCUUCUUCCAAAAUCUCUAGCUUCUUUAACACUUGAUGAUUUUAUGAAUGUGGAAUCAGUUUCAGAGGUUUUACAACACCUCUCGUGCCUUAAACGUCUUCAUAUUAUGUCCUGCCCGAAGCUUAGAGAUCUGCCCGAGAUAAGUUCCACUUCUGACCACCCAUCAUCAUCUUUGACCAUAAAGGUAUGGUGGUGAAAAAGCCUCUAGGAUAACCAAUCAUUGCAGCAGCGAGUUGAAAAACAAGAAAAUAACCGUUUGCAUAAUUUGAAAGAGGCUGUAAAAGUCGGUGCUCUACCAAGGGUAUUAUUGUCAUUUCUGCAAAGCAAAAGAUGAUGAGGACAAGGGUAUUCAUGUCUUUUACAUAAACAAAAGAUAUUGUUCUGUUAUGUCUUGUCACGUAACAAACAGUGCCUAAUAAGAUUCUUGAUGUAGACGAGGGCAUUUACAUCUUUUUCAGUUUUUGUGUUUCCGUGCAAGUCAUGUUCAACUUGCUGCAAUGGCAUUGCCUUUAACCGAACUCAAAGCAUGAAAAGAAAUACAGGAAGCUAAUUUGUGAGUUGGAAAUAGGCUGUGGACAUGUACAAUGCAAAGAGUGACAAGAACCGAAUAAAUUAGCAAGGGGACUCCUCAUCGACCUCAAGUAAAUUGAAAGUGAAGAAAAGCCCAUACAAAAAUAAAAAUAAAAAUAAAAAUGCAUCUUUUAGAAAUCUUCAAGUAAAUAAAAAUCAAUAUAAACACAUUUUGUAAUUAUGUUUAUUGAUUUGAGAUACUUUUUUGGGAGGCGCUACAAUAUAAAUCAAUAUGAUCCUAUAUUUACAACA